UCCCUGAAGGAUGAGUGGUUAGGCCUCGGCGCUUUCACCUCCAUGGCCUGGGUUCAAUUCCUAGCCAAGGAA